rnacentral:rRNA from 2 species
GAUGAACGCUGGCGGCGCGCCUAACACAUGCAAGUCGAACGGUUAAAGCACCUUUUAGGUGUGUAUAAAGUGGCGAACGGCUGAGUAACACGUGGGCAACCUGCCCUCCUCUUGGGGAUAGCCUCGGGAAACCGAGGAUAAUACCCGAUACUUCAAUGUGGCCGCAUGACGACAUUGAGAAAGCUUUUGCGGAGAAGGAUGGGCCCGCGGCCUGUUAGCUUGUUGGUGGGGUAGAGGCCUACCAAGGCAAUGAUGGGUAGCUGGGUUGAGAGACCGACCAGCCAGAUUGGGACUGAGACACGGCCCAGACUCCUACGGGAGGCAGCAGUGGGGAAUCUUGCACAAUGGGCGAAAGCCUGAUGCAGCGACGCCGCGUGCGGGACGAAGGCCUUCGGGUUGUAAACCGCUUUCAGCAGGGACGAGGCGAAAGUGACGGUACCUGCAGAAGAAGCCCCGGC